rnacentral:rRNA from 1 species
UACAGAGGUCCCGAGCGUUGUUCGGAUUCAUUGGGCGUAAAGGGUGCGUAGGCGGGUCUUUAAGUCAGAGGUGAAAGCCUGGAGCUCAACUCCAGAACUGCCUUUGAUACUGAGGAUCUCGAGUUCGGGAGAGGUGAGUGGAACUGCGAGUGUAGAGGUGAAAUUCGUAGAUAUUCGCAAGAACACCAGUGGCGAAGGCGGCUCACUGGCCCGGUACUGACGCUGAGGCACGAAAGCGUGGGGAGCAAACAGG